CCUACGGGAGGCAGCAGUGGGGGAUAUUGCACAAUGGGGGAAACCCUGAUGCAGCGACGCCGCGUGUGGGAAGACGGUCCUCUGGAUUGUAAACCACUGUCCCCAGGGACGAAGAUGACGGUACCUGGGGAGGAAGCUCCGGCUAACUACGUGCCAGCAGCCGCGGUAAUACGUAGGGAGCGAGCGUUGUCCGGAAUUACUGGGUGUAAAGGGCGCGUAGGCGGGACUGCAAGUUGGGUGUCAAAUCUACGGGCUCAACCGGUAGCCGCACUCAAAACUGCAGUUCUUGAGUGAAGUAGAGGCAGGCGGAAUUCCUAGUGUAGCGGUGAAAUGCGUAGAUAUUAGGAGGAACACCAGUGGCGAAGGCGGCCUGCUGGGCUUUUACUGACGCUGAGGCUCGAAAGUGUGGGGAGCAAACAGGAUUAGAUACCCCGGUAGUC
rnacentral:rRNA from 1 species